UACAGAGGUCCCAAGCGUUGUUCGGAUUCACUGGGCGUAAAGGGUGCGUAGGCGGCCAGGUAAGUCUGCUGUGAAAUCCCGCAGCUCAACUGCGGAACUGCAUUGGAUACUAUCUGGCUAGAGGAAUGGAGGGGAGACUGGAAUUCUCGGUGUAGCAGUGAAAUGCGUAGAUAUCGAGAGGAACACCAGUGGCGAAGGCGAGUCUCUGGACAUUUCCUGACGCUGAGGCACGAAAGCCAGGGGAGCAAACGGG
rnacentral:rRNA from 1 species